rnacentral:rRNA from 1 species
CGUCUAUAUACGUAUAGCAUAUCAAUAAGCGGAGGAAAAGAAACUAACAAGGAUUCCCUUAGUAACGGCGAGUGAAGCGGGAAGAGCUCAAAUUUGAAAUCUUCAAGGUUCUACCUUGACGAAUUGUAGUUUAAAGAAGUGUUUUCUGUUAGAGGAGUAGCAAAAGUUCCUUUGGAAUAGGGACAUCAUAGAGGGUGAGAAUCCCGUAUUUGGUUAUUCUUUCUAGCUGUGUGAUACACUUUCAAAGAGUCGGAUUGUUUGGGAAUGCAGUCCAAAAUGGGUGGUAAAUUUCAUCUAAAGCUAAAUAUUGGCGAGAGACCGAUAGCGAACAAGUACCGUGAGGGAAAGAUGAAAAGAACUUUGAAAAGAGAGUUAAACAGUACGUGAAAUUGUCAAAAGGGAAGCGUUUGACACCAGUGUUGUUUUUCCGAAAAUCAAUUAAGAGUGGCUUGAUUUUGUGUUGUAUUGACCUUAUCAGCUUUCUUCACUCUUUUUCGAGUCUUUCUUAAUGCACUUUUCGGUUAACAAGUCAACAUCAAUUUCUUUUGUUGUAAAAGGGUAUUUGGAAGGUGGCUUUCUUUUCGGAGAAAGUGUUUAUAGCCUUAUACCUCUACAAUCGGGAGAGAUUGAGGUCUGCAGCGUAGAUCCUUCGGGGCUAGAUACACUUGUGCUAAGUUAUAGCUUUUCAUAGACAACUUGUUGACUAUGUUUAGUCAUGUAGCUUACCCGCUUGUGCUAUUUUACCUACGCUUAGGAUGUUGAGUCAUCACACAUCUCU